rnacentral:rRNA from 1 species
UAAACAAAACUAUUCGCCAGAGUACUACCGGCAAUAGCUUAAAACUCAAAGGACUUGGCGGUGCUUUAUACCCUUCUAGAGGAGCCUGUUCUAUAAUCGAUAAACCCCGAUAAACCUCACCAUUCCUUGCUACUACAGUCUAUAUACCGCCAUCUUCAGCAAACCCUAAAAAGGUACAAAAGUAAGCACAAUCAUAAUACAUAAAAACGUUAGGUCAAGGUGUAACCUAUGGAACGGAAAGAAAUGGGCUACAUUUUCUAAUCUAAGAAAAUCCAACACGAAAGUUAUUAUGAAACUAAUAACCAAAGGAGGAUUUAGCAGUAAACUAAGAAUAGAGUGCUUAGUUGAAUUAGGCCAUGAAGCACGCACACACCGCCCGUCACCCUC